AUAAUAUGUGCCCCAUGCUGAGUAGAGUACUCAAAGUUAUUAUUCCUUGGCCUGAUAUCGAAAUGAUCCGUAGCAACCUACCUAAAUCAUUCCAAAAAUAUAAAAAUACAAGAAUAAUAUUCGACUGUGCUGAAACUGUGAUUGAAAAAUGUAAAUGUUUAAAAUGUAGAAUAUUGACAUACUCUCAAUAUAAAAAAAACAAUACAGCCAAGUUUAAUAUUGGAAUAACUCCUUCUGGACUUAUAACUGAAAUAAGUGCAUCUUAUGGUGGUCGAGCAUCAGAUAAACAUAUUGUAAAUAAAUCAGGAAUCUUAAAUAAAUGCGAGUUUAAUGAUGGAGUGAUGGUGGAUAAAGGAUACAGGAUUGAAUCCGAGUGUAAUGAACGUCUGCUUCAGCUUGUCAGGCCUCCUUUCUUGAGUCAGAAAAAGCAGAUGACCAAAGAAGAUGCAAUCCGCACUGCAGAGAUUGCACGGGCAAGAGUGCAUGUUGAGAGAGUGAUACAGAGAUUACGACAAUAUAAACUUCUAUGUGGACCAUUACCAUGGUCACUGGCGUCUUAUUUUGAUGAUAUAUUAAUUAUUGUUGGUGGUCUUACAAAUUUGGGUCCACCAAUUAUUCACAUUGAUAAAUUUAUGUAGUUAUUAUAUAAUCGGAAGGGAAUUUUGUAAGAGUGGCAAUAAAUUUUUACAGUGAAUAAAUAAUUUAGUACACAGAG